UACAGAGGUCCCGAGCGUUGUUCGGAUUCACUGGGCGUAAAGGGUGCGUAGGUGGCUUGAAAAGUUUGAUGUGAAAGCUCAGGGCUUAACCCUGAAAUGGCAUUGAAUACUGUCGGGCUGGAGGUUUGGAGGGGGGACUGGAAUUCUUGGUGUAGCAGUGAAAUGCGUAGAUAUCAAGAGGAACACCAGUGGCGAAGGCGAGUCCCUGGACAACACCUGACACUGAGGCACGAAAGCCGGGGGAGCAAACAGG
rnacentral:rRNA from 1 species